rnacentral:snRNA from 1 species
UUUAAUGGGGAUGCUAGCUAAAA